rnacentral:rRNA from 1 species
CUACAGAGGGUGCAAGCGUUAAUCGGAAUUACUGGGCAUAAAGCGCGCGUAGGCGGUUUGUUAAGUUGGAUGCGAAAGCCCCGGGCUUAACCUGGGAGGGUCAUUCAAAACUGGCAGACUAGAGUGUGGUAGAGGGUAGUGGAAUUCCUAGUGUAGCGGUGAAAUGCGUAGAGAUUAGGAGGAACACCAGUGGCGAAGGCGACUGCCUGGACCAACACUGACGCUGAGGUGCGAAAGCGUGGGUAGCGAACAGGAUUAGAAACCCCAGUAGUCC